rnacentral:tRNA from 1 species
GGGUCUGUACCCCAAUGUAGAGGGAGCACGCUUAGACCGUGUUAAGUGAGAGUUCAAAUCUCUCCAGACCUACCA